GCUUAGGCUUGGGGAGGAGGAGGAGCCAGAUUGUAAUAAGGAGGCGGCAGCGGAAGUUCCGGCAGCCAUAUGGGUUGCUUCCAUGGGAAGUGGAUGGUCGUGAGUUCCUUCGUACGUCGUCAUAUAAGCGGAGGUCUGAUCUUCCAAGCCUAAGAGAUAUAUCUACACCGAAAUUGUCGUGGCUAUUAGUGUCCAUCUCCAUAGAAUCUUCAUGUUGUGGUCGGAUAACGUUGGAGACAUGCAUUUGAAGAGAUUUAUAAUCAGUAAGAACGGUAGAUAGUAAGAGUUUUAACUUCUCAUUUUCUUCUCUAACUUUCUCCAACUUGGCUUUUGUUGCAUCAAGCUCCACUUCCUGUAAAUAUCCAGAGUACAAAUUGCUUAUAUUAAUGGCCUCACCUUCAUACUACUUGUGUUUACAUGUGAUUUAUUUUUUUAUCCAAGUAUUUUCUAAACAUUGAUUUCUUCGUAACUCAACACUCAAAAGUGAGCAGUCUGUAGAGAUGAACAGAGAUUGAAUACUAGAAGAAUAUAUAUUGUAUCGACAUUAUUGACAUGUAUUAUGUACAUGUUACGUUAUUACAUCUAUCCAAUCCGAAUAUUUUUGAAUAUUUGAAUUUCAUUUACCUGAAUAAUCUGAAUAUCCUCAACUUUUUUUAGAACAGGCAGGUUGACUUUUAUUACAUGCAGUAAGUGUGUAUUGAUUUCGAAAAAUCAACAAACGUAUGAACUACAUAUAUUUAUAUGUACACUAUAUGAAUGCGUAUAUCUAAAAUUCAAAAUUUUCACCGAUAAAACACCAGAAGAAGAUUUAAAACAGCCAUACCCGAACUGAUUAGAGAAAACCAUGGUUUAAAAUCUUAAAUCAAGAUAUAGUUUGUUCCUUUUACCUUAUCAGAUUCUACUAUACCAUCGGAAGGAUGAACACAUGAACUGAUCUUCUCUUUGAUCAUACUAUAUAUUAUGAUUCAGAUCUUGAGAACAGUUGGAUCCGCUCUUUCGGUUGUUCUUGGUUGCAAGAAAAAAAAGAGUAAUAUAUUCUCUUUAAUUAUUUGUAGAGUUGUAGCUUCUUAUAAAGAGCCAGGAGCCUACAUUGACUCUGCAUUUUAGUAAGAGGAAAUACAAACUUAAAAAUAUUGUUUUCUAUUGGUGAUCAUCACCAUGUUACCAGCUCUGAUUGGAAAUCAUUCUCAACUUCGUCUCGAUUCUUGAAUAAUCCCGAACCGACGACUCAGCAUUAUAUAAUAAAUAAUGUCUAUUGUCAUAAUAUAAUAAUGAUAAUAAUUCAAAUUGUAUUGCAAUCCAAAUCAUGAAUCAUUUAUGAUAAUACUUUAUAAUAAUUUUUGGUAAAACACUUUAUAAUAUUUUUCUACUUCUGCAUCAUGGUUAUUAUAGCAACGCUGUAGACAUUAUGUUAAUUUAUUGGUAACUAGGACGAGUCUUUACUUUUGACAUGUACGUACGGAUAUAUCGGAUUAUAGAUCUAUACAUAAUUUGUGUGUUUUAUACCGUCUAAACUAAAGAAAUUUGUACAUUGAAGUUAUGGUUGCAGAAUUCUACAGAUGAAUAUUGUGGCAUAGGUAACAGAUGACCUAGAAGAUCGAAUGAAACAAUACUUAGUUCUUUCUUUUCUUUGAUAUUUUGUACAUGCAGGUGUGUAUAUUAUCCAGAUAGGGACAGUGCCGGUGCUAGAUAUCAACUACAAGCUCCGACCUGAUGAAGUUUAGAGAAAUAAAGGGCCACUUCUAAGGGAAAAGUUGCUAGUUCUUUCUGUUGAUAGCAGUAUAAGAGCAUUUUCAAUGUAAUAUUCUAUUUUUUUCUUUAAAAUAAA